rnacentral:rRNA from 1 species
UACGUAGGUGGCAAGCGUUGUCCGGAUUUAUUGGGUUUAAAGGGUGCGUAGGCGGCACUGUUAGUCAGGCGUGAAAGUCCUGGGCUCAACCUGGGAACUGCGCUUGAUACGGCAGAGCUAGAGGAUGGAAGAGGCUCGCGGAAUUCCCAGUGUAGAGGUGAAAUGCGUAGAUAUCGGGAGGAACACCUGUGGCGAAAGCGGCGCACUGGACCACAUCUGACGCUGAGGCGCGAAAGCUAGGGGAGCAAACAGG